UAAAACCAGCACCUCAAGUGGUCAGGAUGAUUAUUGGGCCUAAAGCAUCCGUAGCCGGCUUUGUUAGUUUUCGGUUAAAUCCAUGUGCUCAACACAUGGGCUGCCGAAAAUACUGCAUGGCUAGGGAGUGGGAGAGGUAGACGGUACUCAGUAGGAAGGGGUAAAAUCCUUUGAUCUAUUGAUGACCACCUGUGGCGAAGGCGGUCUACCAGAACACGUUCGACGGUGAGGGAUGAAAGCUGGGGGAGCAAACCGGAUUAGAUACCCGGGUAGUCCCAGCUGUAAACGAUGCAGACUCAGUGAUGCAUUGGCUUGUGGCCAAUGCAGUGUUGCAGGGAAGCCGUUAAGUUUGCCGCCUGGGAAGUACGUACGCAAGUAUG
rnacentral:rRNA from 2 species